UACGGAGGGUGCGAGCGUUGUUCGGAAUCACUGGGCGUAAAGCGCGUGUAGGCGGCCCACUAAGUCUGAUGUGAAAGCCCGGGGCUCACCCCCCGGAAGUGCAUUGGAAACUGGUGGACUCGAGUCCCGGAGAGGAGAGUGGAAUUCCUGGUGUAGCGGUGAAAUGCGGCAGAUAUCAGGAGGAACACCGAUGGCGGAAGGCAGGUCUCGUGGGCCACGUACUGACG
rnacentral:rRNA from 1 species